rnacentral:rRNA from 1 species
UACGUAGGGUGCAAGCGUUGUCCGGAAUUAUUGGGCGUAAAGAGCUCGUAGGCGGUCUGUCGCGUCGGCUGUGAAAACCCGGGGCUCAACUCCGAGCUUGCAGUCGAUACGGGCAGGCUAGAGUUCGGCAGGGGAGACUGGAAUUCCUGGUGUAGCGGUGAAAUGCGCAGAUAUCAGGAGGAACACCGGUGGCGAAGGCGGGUCUCUGGGCCGAUACUGACACUGAGGAGCGAAAGCGUGGGGAGCGAACAGG